rnacentral:rRNA from 1 species
CCCUUAGACACUCUAGGCGGCACGCGCGCUACAAUGGAUGGAAAACAGUGUUACUGCUCUCGAAAGAGAGGGUGAAUCACGAAUUCUGACCCGUGAAUGGGAUAGUUUGUUGCAAUUUUCGGACUUGAACUAGGAAUCCCUUGUAAGCAUGCUCAAGAAUAGUAUGCUGAAUACGUCCCUGCCGUUUGUACACACCGCCCGUCGUUUCUUCCGACUGAUACGAAUUGUGAGUUGCAAGGAUCCUUGAUUGGAGAAUUGUCGCAAAUGCUUCGUGUUGGAGGAAGAAAAAGUCGUAACA